rnacentral:rRNA from 1 species
GAUGAACGCUAGCGGCAGGCUUAACACAUGCAAGUCGAGGGGUAGGAGAAGCUUGCUUUUCUGAGACCGGCGCACGGGUGCGUAACGCGUAUGCAAUCUACCUUUCACAGAGGGAUAGCCCAGAGAAAUUUGGAUUAAUACCUCAUAGUAUAAUUGAAUGGCAUCAUUUAAUUAUUAAAGAUUUAUCGGUGAAAGAUGAGCAUGCGUCCCAUUAGCUAGUUGGUAUGGUAACGGCAUACCAAGGCAACGAUGGGUAGGGGUCCUGAGAGGGAGAUCCCCCACACUGGUACUGAGACACGGACCAGACUCCUACGGGAGGCAGCAGUGAGGAAUAUUGGACAAUGGGCGCAAGCCUGAUCCAGCCAUGCCGCGUGCAGGAUGACGGUCCUAUGGAUUGUAAACUGCUUUUAUACAGGAAGAAACCCCUCUACGUGUAGAGACUUGACGGUACUGUAAGAAUAAGGAUCGGCUAACUCCGUGCCAGCAGCCGCGGUAAUACGGAGGAUCCAAGCGUUAUCCGGAAUCAUUGGGUUUAAAGGGUCCGUAGGCGGUCAGGUAAGUCAGUGGUGAAAGCCCAUCGCUCAACGGUGGAACGGCCAUUGAUACUGUCUGACUUGAAUUAUUAGGAAGUAACUAGAAUAUGUAGUGUAGCGGUGAAAUGCUUAGAGAUUACAUGGAAUACCAAUUGCGAAGGCAGGUUACUACUAAUUGAUUGACGCUGAUGGACGAAAGCGUGGGUAGCGAACAGGAUUAGAUACCCUGGUAGUCCACGCCGUAAACGAUGGAUACUAGCUGUUGGGAGCAAUCUCAGUGGCUAAGCGAAAGUGAUAAGUAUCCCACCUGGGGAGUACGAACGCAAGUUUGAAACUCAAAGGAAUUGACGGGGGCCCGCACAAGCGGUGGAGCAUGUGGUUUAAUUCGAUGAUACGCGAGGAACCUUACCAAGGCUUAAAUGUAGAUUGACCGGUUGGAAACAGACUU